AGAGCAUCCUCGCUGCAGCCCAGUAACAGAACAACAGGAAUGCCGUUAACAGAUGGGAAACUGGAGUCAUGAGUUGCCUGAGGUCACACUGGUCUCAUCGGCUGAGGGGGGCCGUUGGCUGCUGAGUCCUGCUGGGGUCCUGCUGCCGUGCUGUACUCAGCCUCAGCUCUCAACGUGCUGUGUUAGGAAUCAUGCAUGAAGGGACUGCCCUGCGGCUGCCCCUGCAGGGUGAGCUGGACUCUGAGUCCUCAGGGCAAGGAAGCCAAGCCCUCGGCGCAGAGCCUGCGGGUGCCAGCUCUGCACAAACCUGGGAGUGAGCUGAAGCCAGUUGGAGAGCCUCCGUAGGAACUUGGGCUGAUUGAGUUUGGGCAGCAUGUCCCCGAGGGGCACCCCGGCAGUCUCGCUCUUCACUGAGUCCGGGGACAGUGGCUCUGCCUGCGGCUCCGCAGGGUCGCGGGCCCUGCCUGGAAAACCGCCAGAGGCGGGGACUCCCAUGUCCCAGGGCCUCCUUCCCUUUGGGAAAACUAGCUGGCAGCUGGCCUGGCCUUUCCCGUAGAGUCCUGAUACUGAUCUGGGCCCCACCCGGGGUCCUGGUGGGGUCCCUGGCCUGAGACCCCUCCCUGCCUUGCUGUCACCCUGCACACCAUUCAUGCUUCGGCUCUGGGUCCCCUGAGGAACUCCUCCUCUGAAAGCCUGGCGGUGUCCAGCGUGAGCUCCUCGGGCAGGAGGGCAAUGAGGCAGCGCCCGGACCCUGACCUCAGCUGCGGCUCAUGAGAUGGGCGCCUCUGGCAGCCGCUGACGCUGAUUCAUUGGGCAGCAGGCGGCUCAGAU